UACGUAGGGUGCAAGCGUUGUCCGGAAUUAUUGGGCGUAAAGAGCUUGUAGGCGGUUUGUCGCGUCUGCUGUGAAAUUUCGGGGCUCAACCCCCGAACUUGCAGUGGGUACGGGCAGACUAGAGUGUGGUAGGGGAGACUGGAAUUCCUGGUGUAGCGGUGAAAUGCGCAGAUAUCAGGAGGAACACCGAUGGCGAAGGCAGGUCACUGGGCCGCAACUGACGCUGAGGAGCGAAAGCAUGGGGAGCGAACAGG
rnacentral:rRNA from 1 species